GUCAGAGCAGAAAACGGAGGCUCCGGGCAGAGAUGGGGCCAAACUAGGGUCUAGCUUCGGCCCUUUACCACGGCCCCGCCCAGCACCACCUUUUGCAAUGUUUUGGCUGAAACAGAGAUUUCCUGGGAACCAAGAACGCUGACUAGGCCAGCACUUCUCCAUUUACCAGCAGUCCGGGAGGUGCCUGUGCUCUAGUGCCAUUACAGGAAGACAAGGGAACUCCCGGGGGCAGGAGCCAGCGAGGAAGAAGGCCCAGAGACGUGCGAGGGGGAACUGCGUGGAGGAGGUCGGAGGUCGCUGGAGAGACAAUGGGGUUCAACUGGUCAAGACGGCAUCGCCCUUCUGUUUGUCCUUCACGCGCUCCCGCCUUGCACUGGGUCUGCUCUGGGUGACAGAGGACAGCAUUCUGGGGCGCAGAGUUUGGCCAAAAAAAAAAUUUCAUGGCACUUAGUAAAAAUAAAAAGGACCUGCAGUGAGGAAAUAUUAACCCAGGACACCUCAAGUGUAUCAAGAAAGCCUGGUCUGAAUCAACUAACACCACAUCAACGAAUAUCCCGGACCUGGGAGCCCCCAUGUAGCUGUCCAAAGCGUAGGCUGGGGGGUGAGGCAGACCCAAAUUCCGACUCCACCGCUUACCUGUGCUGUGAUCCUAGGUAAGGAAGUCCCCCAAGCAGUGGUUCCCCAUCUUCAAAGUGAGACUAACAUACCAGUGGUGGGCUGCUAUGUGUAUCAAUUAUAUGAAGAAUGUAAAAAAGGUGAGCGCAGUGCCUGGCGCAUAAGAAAAAGAGAAGAAAACGUUAGCUCCUACUGCAUCAUUUGACCCCCGGCGCCCACACUCAUGGCCCAGCAGAGAUUUCUCUCUGGAGAAAGAGUUUCUCUGUUUUAGUUUCCCUCUGGAGAGAGAGGUGGGCAGGGAGUGUGCAUGGUGACGAUGACACAGAGACUGGACCAAGGUCAAGGCAACCUAGCAGGGGCCAUCCAGGCCAUGCCUUAAGAGUACAUUCAAGGGACACCACGCCUUGAAGACACUUCAACUACCCCGUACCCCGUCCUCACCUCCCACUCCAUCUCCACCCUGCGCGCCGGCAGGAGGCGGGCCUGUGCUGACGGUGGCCUCCGUAGCUGGCCACAUCCGCAGGUGGGAAGGGGGGCUGGCCGGGCCCGGUCGCAGGGGAGUCCCCUGUGCACAGGGGGCUGCGGGGCUCCCGCACUGGGAACGCCGGCCUCCCUCCCUCCCUCUCUGCCCGCUUGAACAGCCUAACAAGCUCUGUCCAAAACGAAACAGUCUCACGGGUCUUUUUCUUUCUUUGAAAAACCUGACUCCUUCCUGCCAGUGCUCUCUGGGUGUGCUGUCAGCAGCUCCACGGAGACUCGAGAAGGGGUCGGGGGGUCCUCAGGGCUGCCCCUGCCCCUCCCUGGCCCGGUCCACACACCGAGGCUCGGCCGACCACCCUCCACUCACCCUUCCCUCAUCCUGACAUUCGGAAGGUCCUGUAAAAAGCAGGCCUGGAGCAAGGGAAUCUACGGCUCAAAAAAAAAGGACUCACAGGAAUUUGGAAGUUCUUAAACCCUCCACACUAUUCUAAAAAUCAUCCCAUUUUUAUUUUUAAAUCAAUAUUUAAGGAAAAUAACUAAUUAUCUGGGGAGCACCACGGACCUGACAGGUUAACGUGACAUCAUCAGUAAGAGUCGACAAGGGACCCUGAUGACGUCAUCUUUCAGGUGAGGGAACACGCGCUGGGGCAGAGCCCAGAAAUGCCUGCGGAGAGACUGCAAAUGUCUCCAAAGCUGGCGCGCCCGUCACAACCCCGCGCUGCCCAUCACCAGGCCAAACGGUCUCAACCCAGGGAGACAAUCCAGCACUCAUCUCCCGAGAAAAGAGGCCAAGCCAACCGCUUGGGACCACGAGCUCCAAAGGCCAGGCUGGAAGAGGACAGGGCUCCGGCAGGUGUCGGCACACCGAAGAAACGCCACUGCGAAGUGGCAGAAGAGAAAAUACCAUACAAACCAUAAAAAAGGAUCUAUGAAAGAAGAAGAAAAGAAAAGGAAAUGCCAUGUCUCCUGUACUAGCUGUAUGCUUUACAAAAUGGGUUUUGACAUCCAAUCAACACUAAAAAAUGCAAGUUUUAGAGGAUAGGAUUUUUGGUAAAGUGUCAUUUGGACUUACUAUAACCAGCACAGUUUAGCAAGAUUUUAUUUCUGUGAAAAUGGUAAAAUUCGAAUCUACUGAGAGCAAACUGACGCAUAUAUAUCUACACGUGGCCCCACAGUCCGUGAGGAUGCUGGGCGCUGCUAGGUAACCUGCAGCUGGAGAAGCGCCAAUUCAGCUUGCCCAGUCAUGUCACCAGGUGGGCCUGGCAGCUCCCCACAGUGCAGAUGUUUCUAAGGAUGUCUGAAAAUCACCUAAAAUGUCCCCAGGGCCUCUUCCACCUCUGCUUUGUCCCUGCCGCCGAGGGAUAUGCUUACUUUGCAUAUUUUCUUUUCCACAAUGAAACUUUUCAAAGCCAUCUGUUCUAAUUUCUAAGGCUUUUUUUUUUUUUUUUUUUUCUGGUAGAUGGUAGACCUUGUCUUCUUUCUUUUUCUUGACAAACUUGUCUUAACUGUUUUUGCAUAUUUAAGAAUUUAAGGACGAGUUCUAUUAAAAAAUUCUCUGUGGAUUUUUGACGAGUACAAUUAUACAGUAAUUUGGGGGAGAAAUGACAGCUUCACAACUGAGUCUUCCCAUCAGUAAAUAAUGUAUUCAAGUUUUCUUUUAUUUCAAAUUAUUGUCAUUAUUUGAAAUGACAGAAAAGAUAAAGAAAAUUAACUUUUGGAUUACUAGUGGAAUUUCAAAAAGAUCUUGGGAAUAACUUUUCUAUUUGGGGGUAUAAACAACUUGCCAAUUUAAUUACAACUCUAAGGAUCUUGAGCAUUUUUCCUAGAUUUAUUCCUAUAUUUCAAUGACUUUUGUUUGCUGUUGCAAACUGGAUAUUUUAUUUUUAUUUUUCUAUUUAAAACCUUCUGCUUAUUUCUAACUUUUAAAUUUCUUUGUACUUGAUCUACUCCUUUGGAUGUAUUUAAAUUCUGCUUUUCUGUAUUCCUGAGUUAAAUGAUUGAAUGUGUUGUGACUGCUAUGUUCUAAGAAUUGCAUUUAAGAUGUAAAAUAUUAUAUAGCAUAGGCUAGUUUUAAAAUUUUACAUCUAAUACUGAAAUAAGAAAUCCCAUUUUUUAAAUAAUAAAUUAAUUUUAAUAGUAUGGUUGGAAGUUUUACUACAGUUGUAUUUAAAGAUUCCAAAAGCAAAGACAAAGUGCAUACAUGCAAUUAUCUGUAGCUGAAGAGACAGCAGGGCAGAAGUUUCACCAUGAAGCAGGGUGGCACAGACCAGCUAUGCAAUGGCACCAGUCCCUUUUGUUUCCAUGAAAGCAGUCAUGUUGCAUCACUACAUAUGAAGUAAUUACGCCUUGAUCUAUUUUGGGGUUAAAACAAGAUGGUCAUUUCUCCUUAGAUGGUACUUUCUUUGAAUCACUGUUUCAUAAUCUGUCAACCUCUUAUGAUUUAAUUUGGUCAGAAAUAAGAAACCAACUGAGAGAAGAACACUGAUUACCUUUCACCGAAAUUUUAAGAAAUAUCACCCAAAUUGAAAGCAUUUUAGUAUAGCAGAAAAUCAAAAUGUUAAAAUUUUUAAAUUAAAAAAUGUUUUGACAGACUCUUCUCAUCAGUCUUUAUACUUAUUUUUGUUAAAAGCACUUAUUUAAUACACAGCUAUUAAACAUUAAAAAUGAAUUAAAUUAUUACGGCCUUUUUAUCCAUCACAUAUAAAAUUAGUUACAACAGCAGAAAAUAAUCUUUGAAGUAACUGAAAUUUAUUCCUAUCUUAGACAUGAGAGCGGGGUCCUGAUGAAAAAUUCUUAAAACAAAAAUUCAGUAUUUGGAACAGGAAAUAUUUUUGGAAUUCCCUAAUUAAAAGUAAUUUAAACACAUUUGAAGUAUAAGAGAAAAACUUCCUAUGAACUAAUUCUCAAACAGUGGGAAGAUACUACAGCUAUAU